UUUCUAUGGAGUUUAUUGUCAUUUUCUGUUCAGGUCUAGAGUAGAAAAGCAUGCAAAAAAUAGCCUCUCUAUUCAUGGUACAUAUUUACAGUGUAACAGCCACGCGCCGUUACGGUACGGAGUGCAUAUACAUCAUGCUUGAAUGACAGCAGAGUACAUACAGCAUCAUAGUUAACAUCAAGUGUAAUGAGAGACUCAAAUAGCAACAGAACAGGCCUAGAAGUCAGAAACAGCAGCAAACCUAUGCACAGAGGAUCCAAAUUGUACCCUCAAAAGUUGCAGCUCUUGUUCUUGAAUUUACACCAGUUUUUGGAGCACUUUGACUGAUGGUUCGUGGUCACUGACCCAGGGCCUGGGCUCGCAGCGGCUCUGGGCAUACAUGGCUUUUCUUCAGGAAGGGAAGGGGAAAGGCAGCCGCUGAUUCUCAAGCUCUUUCCUUCCCUCUUCCCAUAGAAGGCUGCAUUCAGAGCAACAGGUCAUGGGAUAACCCAGGUUGGGAGGGACCCGAUCAGAGCACAGUCUUCUGUGGAGGUCUCUGGGCCAGAAAAGAAACCUCUGCCACUGCUUUGCUCAGCAACCACCGCUGUCAAUGUGCCCUGGUGAACGGAGAACUUUGGCACCCAGACUGAGUUACACAAACACACAAACCCCGCACUAUCCGCUUUCCAGCCUCAGCAUUCCUGCCAGACACGCGAUGCGCUCACGCUCCCAGCAGCACGGUCCUUCCCUCGGGAAGCUGUUUACAUUUGCUGAUCCCCAUCUCCUGGGGACAGAAAGGAGCCUGCCUCCCCUGCUAUCCCCAUCCACACCAGGGUGAGAUCCCUGUCCCAAGGAAGGACCAUCUGUUACUGUGGCUGAACACUACUGAGCAGAAAGCAAACACGGAUGACAAUGGAGCCUGCAAAAAGCAAACAACCAACCAGAUGGGAGCUGCUGGCCCCAGAGGACACGAACAAGACAGGUCACUGAUGCCACCAUGGCCAGCACAGGACAGGCCUGGCUGAUCCACACUCGAAAUGAUGAUAAAGAAAACACGUGUGGCACUGACCUUUCAGAAAGCCCAGUCGUUUGCUGGGCAGCUUCUUGUGUCUCAAGGCACUGAAAACACAGAACAUCAUCACAGCCCAGCCACACUCACUGCUGCAGGUGAUUUGGUUUCUCUUGUGGCCACGGGCUCCUACAUGGAUCAGGCUGGAGACACGGUGCUGCAGGCAAAGCUUCCAGGUCUUCCUCCUGCCCCCAGCAGCACAGACACUGGAAACUCCCAACAAAUGCCCUUACAAAUGCCCUCUCUGUUCUGCACAACCGCCCCAUGGACCUGCUCCUGCUCCAGGGCUAAGCCAUGUGGCUACACCUCAUCUAACAUUCCUCAUGGAUGCAUCACUGGGAAAACCACGGCCCAAAGCUGAGCCCCUGUGCAGGGCUCAGAGUUCUAACACAGUGAGUGGUUAUCCAGGCAUCCAUUCCCAUGCUGCAAUACAUCAGGAAUGAGCUGAGAACCUCAUUUAUUUGCAAAUGUGACAUUCACAGUGAUGUAUUCCUGCCCAAAGGGAAAUACUGCAGUGAAUGUCUUCAACCCUGUGCCAGACAGGAGAGCCUAAACCAGGGUUUUCACUUAGCACUACCUCCCAAACUGACGGCUGAGAAGAGAACUAUUAGUUGAGCAGGACAAAGAAAUCUCCUUCCUGCAGAUCAAAAAGAUGUGCGGUUUCCCCAAAAGAGAGAUCUCCUUCAGGGUCUCUCAGCCCUUGCACCUAGAAAAGCCAACCAAAGCUGACCAGAGCUGCCUCUGCCAUCACGCAUCAGGGCAAGAGGAGCCCUCCCUGGCACACAGAGCCCAGCUAACACAGUUCAGAGCAUCCAGUGCUCCAGGAACAGCACGGGUAAGUGAGGAUCUGGAGGGAAAAACACACACAAAAGCAUCCGAGCACCCCUGCACCAGCUCUUCUCGCUUCUGGAGGAGCCCUGCCACGCCAAACCCCAUCCCCUCCUUCACAGAGAGAAGCGAGACAAGUAUCUCACCACCCAGCUGAAGAGAACGAACUUCCUGAGCAGAUAAAUGGGCUGGCUCACCAGAGCCAAAUAAAUACCCUCUCUCUAGUCUCUUCCUUUCUUCGGAGCAGAAGCAGCGUUGCUCCAAGCUGCCCUAAACACGCACAUAAAGAAGCCAGGAUUUCAUUUCAGCCAAGCAAGAAGUAGAGCGUAUUUCUGCCAGAGUCCUACCAAGCCUUGGAAUAAGUGUGUUUCUUCCC
ensembl:lncRNA